CAGCCUUUCGCCACCCCCCCCAUGAGGCCUGCACGGCGGCGCGGCGCGCUGAGGGGACGCGGCCUCGCAUCCGCCUCGCCCUCUGGGGCGCCCAGGCUGGGCCGUUAGGCCUGACGUGCAGCGAUUCUUCCGCCGCGAGGUGCUCAGCACCGCUGUGGGUUCGGCUCAGCGCAGCGGCCGAGCGGAGAGCAGCACUGCACUGCCCGAACCCGGCCGCCAGGGGGCGCUGCUGCCCGCCGGCACCUCGCUGUGCUCACGGCUCCGCGUGCAGAGCGGACCGCGCCGUCCGGGCUUCGGCUGAGCCGGUGAUGAGGUGGCAGCAUGUUGUUCAGCAAAGGGAAAAAUAGCCUUUGCACUCACCUUCUCGGGAGGCUGAGUCUUUCACCGGGCUGGCAGUAAGCCUGUAUCAGCAGCACAAAGGAGGAAAAUGUUGUGCAGAACCCUGGGGUUAUAUCAUCCCCCAGAGACAGCUUUGGCGAGAAGGCAGCUGUGAAGUUGGACCUCAAACUGAACUCGUGUCUGUUUGUAGAAGAUCAGUGCUGUUCACUGAUGGGCUGAACCAGCAGACUUGACGACAGCAUACUUCCGUAGGAAAUAAAGGACCUGAUUUGCAGCUGGCUGGAGGAAGGAGCAAGUGGUUCCUGCAGUUUGCUGUUUCUGAAUAAAACAAAUCAUUGAAAAUCAGUCUUUUUU